AGUGAACGCUGGCGGUAGGCCUAACACAUGCAAGUCGAACGGCAGCACAGUAAGAGCUUGCUCUUACGGGUGGCGAGUGGCGGACGGGUGAGGAAUACAUCGGAAUCUACUUUUUCGUGGGGGAUAACGUAGGGAAACUUACGCUAAUACCGCAUACGACCUACGGGUGAAAGCAGGGGAUCUUCGGACCUUGCGCGAUUGAAUGAGCCGAUGUCGGAUUAGCUAGUUGGCGGGGUAAAGGCCCACCAAGGCGACGAUCCGUAGCUGGUCUGAGAGGAUGAUAAGCCACACUGGAACUGAGACAGGGUCCAGAGUCCUACGGGAGGCAGCAGUGGGGAACAUUGGACAAUGGGCGCAAGCAUGAUCCAGCCAUACCGAGUGGGUGAAGAAGGCCUUCGGGGUGUAAAGACCUUUUGUUGGGAAAGAAAAGCAGCAGGUUAAUACCACGCUGUUCUGACGGUACCCAAAGAAUAAGCACCGGCUAACUUCGUG
rnacentral:rRNA from 1 species